rnacentral:rRNA from 1 species
CCGAAAGGCGUAGUCGAUGGGAAACGGGUUAAUAUUCCCGUACUUGGUGUUACUGCGAAGGGGGGACGGAGAAGGCUAUGUUGGCCGGGCGACGGUUGUCCCGGUUUAAGCGUGUAGGUGUGUGUUCCAGGUAAAUCCGGUUCACUUUAACACUGAGGCGUGACGACGAGGCACUACGGUGCUGAAGCAACAAAUGCCCUGCUUCCAGGAAAAGCCUCUAAGCAUCAGGUAACAUCAAAUCGUACCCCAAACCGACACAGGUGGUCAGGUAGAGAAUACCAAGGCGCUUGAGAGAACUCGGGUGAAGGAACUAGGCAAAAUGGUGCCGUAACUUCGGGAGAAGGCACGCUGACAC